GGGAAGGUAGCUCAGCGGAUAGAGCGCUUGCAAGGUGGGUUAUCACCGAUGGACAAUAACCUGUCCGAGAGCAAGAGGUCGCCGGUUCGAAUCCGGCCCUUCCCC
rnacentral:tRNA from 1 species